UCCGAGUUGACCCCGGCAGUCUCCGACGAGUCCCCACCACCGCAAGCGGCGUGCUGGCAACAUCGAACGAGGGUUGCGCUCGUUGCGGGACUUAACCCAACAUCUCACGACACGAGCUGACGACAACCAUGCACCACCUGUGCACCAGCCCAAAAAGGGGGCGACCAUCUCUGACCGUUACUGGCACAUGUCAAGCCUUGGUAAGGUUCUUCGCGUUGCAUCGAAUUAAUCCGCAUGCUCCGCCGCUUGUGCGGGCCCCCGUCAAUUCCUUUGAGUUUUAGCCUUGCGGCCGUACUCCCCAGGCGGGGCGCUUAAUGCGUUAGCUGCGGCACAGGACCCGUGGAAUGGACCCCACACCUAGCGCCCAACGUUUACGGCAUGGACUAC
rnacentral:misc_RNA from 1 species